CGCAAGGCAGAAGGCUCCGCACGGCUGAUCAGGCCUCAUGAAUUGUUUGCCCCAUCGGUUGCAUGGGAGAGACACCUGCUUCUCGCACGGCACGGGCGUCCCUCGCAGCCCCUGUCCCGGGUGCACCCCCCCAGGACUGUCGUAGAGGGCCGAGCCCCCAGCUCCUGCCAACCAGGUGCUUUGCUUGGGACAGCCGCACAGAGGCCCAGAUUCCCCCCGCCCCGUUGGGAAUUAGGCACUGAAAUACCUUUGAGCAUCUGGGCCAGAGGUACGGCAAAUUCCUUACCCCUGGCUUGCACCAACGCCUGGCGGCUGCUCUGGGGACAGGACAGGCAACGUCCCUUUCCUUUGGUUGGCUCGCAAAGGGGCCCCAGUCCAGGGCCAUGCCCUGCCCGCCCUGUCCUUGGCCGUGUGUCCAGCCAGCUAAUAUGUUCCCCACUUGUUUAGGAACGAGUCUGCCACAUGCCAAGUCCUUCACAUUCCAGCAAUGUUCUUUCCUGCACUUGCUAAACUAUUCCGCCGCCGUCCCCCACAGGCCACGGAUCUGCCGGGGGCAGGGACAAUAGCCGCCUUUGACGAGCCCACUGGGGCCGUGAACUUUGGCCGGGCCUCCGGGAAGAGCCCGGGGUUGUUUUCCGGCAGCGCUCAGCAAAUCUGCGGGAUGCCCCCAGUGCUGCUGGAACAGCUGGGCAUGAGCACUAGUGCCUGGGCCUUUGGGGGACGCCCUCCUGCUGCACCCCAGCCAGGACCGCAGGGGCCAGAGCGAGACACACACCCGUCCGUCCCGCUUGGCUGGAGCCAAGCCCACUGCGGAGCCAGAGCUUUGAAGGGGGAGCCAGGGCCGACCAAGUACCAAACCCUGCCGGUCGGUCUCUUUUCUGCUUAUUGUGAGCGGCCCAGUCGGAAAAAUAACGGGAUUAGUGGCUGAAUUCAACUGCAGGAGCAGGGCAGUUCGGGCUCUUUCCCCCACGGCGCCCCCAGGAGGACACGGUGUGAUAUUGCACCCACCCUGCGUGAUAUCUGGGCCUGUGUGCUGUCACAUGCAAGCAGGACUGGGCAAGUGAACGACACCGCGUGUUCCUGACACGAAGCAUGCAACUUCCUCCCAGGGUGGAGAUGCCUUUAUACGCACAGCCCAAAAGCACGCCGAGGCACCAGCUCAGGAAGGCAUGAACAGACUGCAGGCCCAUCUAACCUGGUACCUGGGAUGCAGCCGCAGCCAGAUGCUGCAGAGAAAGGGCUGACAUUCCCGCGAGGCACCUCAUUGUGCAAUACUGUCCCAGGAGCAGGCCGUUUCCUCCUGCCCGCAUAGGGCGAUCUGCU